GAAAUGUGAAUAUCAUGUGCUGUUAGGGUUGCCACCGGUGUCUGACAAAAAUCCUGGUCAUUUUGACCAUCGAAUCGAUCUUUUUGUUUGUAAGCAACGGCGCCAUUCGCACAUCUAACCCAAGACAAAAAUCGCCCUUCUACGCUGAAAUUGUAUUGCU